CUCAUUCCUCUCCAAAAUCUUCGCUCUCUCUUUUUCUCUCUCUCCGCCUUCUUCUCUCCUCUUCCCGUACUUUCAAAUUCCCUUUCUACCCUUCCUCUUUCNNNCCUCCCCCUUUCCGAAAUUCGCACCUUUAUCCUCUCCCCCAGCGACCCUGCCCUUCUGCCGGCAGCGUUUUCAUGGACUCUUCUUCGCCGGAAGCCAUAGCCUCUGUCGACUCGCUCACAGAUAACUUCAAGAAUCAGAGUUUAGGCGCCGAUGAUAGUCUUCAUGAUAAAAACGAUCAUAGCAGCAAUAACAAUACUAGUAAGGAUAAAUAUACGCUUGAAGAUCUGAAUUGGGACCAUUCUUUUGUUACAGAGUUGCCUGGUGAUCCCAGAACCGACAACAUUCCGCGUCAGGUGUUGCAUGCUUGUUAACAAAAAUUUCUCCAUCAGCUGAGGUAGAGAAUCCUCAGCUUGUUACGUGGUCAGAGUCAGUAGCUGGAGUUACUUGAUUUGGAUCCUAAAGAGUGAGUUUCGCCUUGUGUUCCUUCUUGUUGGGAGGUCAAGCGCAUUUGCUAGUUUCUAACAUUACAGAUAUUGGUCAAAUUGGAUACAUCUACCGGGAACAAUGACGUAAUCCUUUAUCAACUUCACAUCUUUAAACUUUUUUUUUUUUUUGGUUACUUGGUUCUAUCUCUU
rnacentral:misc_RNA from 1 species